UGCAGUCGAACGAGAACCGGGGGCAACUCCGGGGAAAGUGGCGAAAGGGGCAGUAAGGCGUGGGUAACCUACCCUGAGGACGGGGAUAGCUGCGGGAAACUGCAGGUAAUACUCGGCGACGUAGCGAGGGGGCAUCUCUUUGCUACCAAAGGAAUUUCGCCUCGGGAGGGGCUCACGUGGUAUUAGCUAGUUGGUGGGGUAACGGCCUACCAAGGCGAAGAUGCCUAGCGGGUGUGAGAGCACGACCCGCGCCACUGGCACUGAGACACUGGCCAGACACCUACGGGUGGCUGCAGUCGAGGAUCUUCGGCAAUGGGCGAAAGCCUGACCGAGCGACGCCGCGUGCGCGAUGAAGGCCUUCGGGUUGUAAAGCGCUUUAGUGGGGGAGAAAAGGGAAACCUUGAUCUAUCCCAAAAAUAAGCUCGGGCUAAGUUCGUGCCAGCAGCCGCGGUAAGACGAACCGAGCGAACGUUGUUCGGAAUCACUGGGCUUAAAGGGCGCGUAGGCGGGCUGUCAAGUCUGGGGUGAAAUCCCACGGCUCAACCGUGGAACUGCCUUAGAUACUGACGGCCUCAAGGGAGAUAGGGGCGAGCGGAACUGUGAGUGGAGCGGUGAAAUGCGUUGAUAUUCACAGGAACUCCGGUGGCGAAGGCGGCUCGCUGGAUCUCUUCUGACGCUGAGGCGCGAAAGCUAGGGGAGCAAACGGGAUUAGAUACCCCGGUAGUCCUAGCCCUAAACGUUGGGUACUGGGUAGUAGACUAGACAUGGGUUUACUGCCGCAGCAAAAGUGCUAAGUACCCCGCCUGGGGAGUAUGGUCGCAAGGCUGAAACUCAAAUGAAUUGACGGGG
rnacentral:rRNA from 1 species